rnacentral:rRNA from 1 species
GACGAACGCUGGCGGCGUGCUUAACACAUGCAAGUCGAACGGUGAAGCGCCUUCCUUUUUGGUGGGUGUGGAUGAGUGGCGAACGGGUGAGUAACACGUGAGUAACCUGCCCCCUUCUUCUGGAUAACCGCAUGAAAGUGUGGCUAAUACGGGAUAUUCUGGGUCUGUCGCAUGAUGGGUCUGGGAAAGAUAUUGUUUCGGUGGGGGAUGGGCUCGCGGCCUAUCAGCUUGUUGGUGGGGUGAUGGCCUACCAAGGCGGUGACGGGUAGCCGGCCUGAGAGGGUGGACGGUCACACUGGGACUGAGACACGGCCCAGACUCCUACGGGAGGCAGCAGUGGGGAAUAUUGCACAAUGGGCGCAAGCCUGAUGCAGCGACGCCCCGUGAGGGAUGGAGGCCUUCGGGUUGUGAACCUCUUUCGCCAGUGAAGCAGGCCUGCCUCGUUUGUGGGUGGGUUGACGGUAGCUGGAUAAGAAGCGCCGGCUAACUACGUG